rnacentral:rRNA from 1 species
CCUACGGGAGGCAGCAGUGGGGAAUAUUGGGCAAUGGGCGCAAGCCUGACCCAGCAACGCCGCGUGAAGGAAGAAGGCUUUCGGGUUGUAAACUUCUUUUCUCAGGGACGAAAAAAGUGACGGUACCUGGGGAAUAAGCCACGGCUAACUACGUGCCAGCCGACGCGGUAAUACGUAGGUGCCAAGCGUUAUCCGGUUUUAUUGGGGGUAAAGGGCGUGGAGGCGGGAGUCUAAGUCAGAGGGGAAAACUCAGGGCUCAACCCUGAGCCUGCAUUUGACACUGGGGUUCUUGAGUGCUGGAGAGGCAAUCGGAAUUCGGUGUGUAGCGGUGAAAUGCGUAGAUAUACGGAGGAACACCAGUGGCGAAGGCGGAUUGCUGGACAGUAACUGACGCUGAGGCGCGAAAGCGUGGGGAGCAAACAGGAUUAGAUACCCGUGUAGUC